rnacentral:rRNA from 1 species
AGGAUCACACUGUCUCCCGCCCCUAAUCAGUGAAACUGAUCUCCCCGUGAAGAAGCGGGGAUUUUUUUAUAAGACGAGAAGACCCCAUGGAGCUUUAAACCCGAUGACACCCCCGCCCUAUUUAGGCCUACGCAUUCGUUGGGGACCUGUUCACUCGGUUUUAGGUUGGGGUGACCGCGGAGUAAAACAAAACCUCCACGAAGAAUGGGCUUACCCCCUUAUCCAAGAGAGACAUCUCUAAGAAUUAGCAAACUAACAUCUAAUGAUCCGAUUUUUCGAUCAACGAACCAAGUUACCCUGGGGAUAACAGCGCAAUCCACUUCAAGAGCUCAUAUCGACAAGUGGGUUUACGACCUCGAUGUUGGAUCAGGGUAUCCCAGUGGUGCAGCAGCUACUAAUGGUUCGUUUGUUCAACGAUUAAAACCCU